rnacentral:rRNA from 1 species
CUGGAGUCUGCAACCCGACUCCACGAAGUUGGAUUCGCUAGUAAUCGCGCAUCAGCCAUGGCGCGGUGAAUACGUUCCCGGGCCUUGUACACACCGCCCGUCACACCAUGAGAGUUGGGAAUACCCGAAGCCUGUGAGCCAACAAACGAGGCAGCAGUCGAAGGUAGAAUCAAUGAUUGGGGUGAAGUCGUAACAAGGUACC